CCUCGGUUCCACACAUUUCUACUGCAUUGCGCUAAAUCAGGGUCACACAGAGUGUUUCUUGGUAGUCUUAAACAAAUCUCCUUUGAAACUAAAAUUCACACCUCAUACACAUGGUAAUGGGCUUAAAAAACAAAGACCCCUGUACCAUGUCACGUAGGAGUUGAAAUGUAUUACAUUCUGACAUUGCAUGCCAUUAUGUUAUUUUAAUUUUAAUUAAUUCUGAAAAAUAUGAAUAACAUUCAAGGGCUACUGUCAUUAAUUAUGUUGCCUUCACAUUCACAACAUAGCCCUGUGACCCCUGUCUCUGCAGGACACUUUGGUGGUGGUGUCCAGUCCUACUUCAUGUUCCUGCGCUUCCUGGUGGUGCUCAACUUCCUGUUGUUUUUGCUGAUUGCUGGGUUCGUCCUCAUCUCCAGUAUCGUGUUCAGAUGCACCAGUAAUAUGACAGUGGACAGCACUGAGGUGCUGCCGGCAGUUACAGCAAGAUGGUGUUCACUGGCUGGGACUACGGUUGCCAGGGAGACCGGGCCACCAAACUCAAACAGAAAAGCAUCCACUACCAGCUACAGGUGGACCUGGAGGAGGACGCUACAGAAAAAGGCUUUGUCUCUAACCUUAGGUUAG
rnacentral:lncRNA from 1 species